rnacentral:rRNA from 1 species
UACUGACGCUGAGAUGCGAAAGCGUGGGGAGCAAACAGGAUUAGAUACCCUGGUAGUCCACGCUGUAAACGAUGUCGAUUUGGAGUUUGGUGGCAUGACUGCUGGGCUCCGAAGCUAACGCGUUAAAUCGACCGCCUGGGGAGUACGGCCGCAAGGUUAAAACUCAAAUGAAUUGACGGGGGCCCGCACAAGCGGUGGAGCAUGUGGUUUAAUUCGAUGCAACGCGAAGAACCUUACCUGGUCUUGACAUCCACAGAAUUUUGUAGAGAUACGAAAGUGCCUUAGGGAGCUGUGAGACAGGUGCUGCAUGGCUGUCGUCAGCUCGUGUUGUGAAAUGUUGGGUUAAGUCCCGCAACGAGCGCAACCCUUAUCCUUUGUUGCCAUCGGUUAGGCCGGGAACUCAAAGGAGACUGCCGUUGAUAAAGCGGAGGAAGGUGGGGACGACGUCAAGUCAUCAUGGCCCUUACGACCAGGGCUACACACGUGCUACAAUGGCGCAUACAAAGAGAAGCAAACCAGCGAUGGCAAGCGGACCUCAUAAAGUGCGUCUAAGUUCGGAUUGGAGUCUGCAACUCGACUCCAUGAAGUCGGAAUCGCUAGUAAUCGUGAAUCAGAAUGUCACGGUGAAUACGUUCCCGGGCCUUGUACACACCGCCC